GAUGAACGCUGGCGGCGUGCCUAAUACAUGCAAGUCGAGCGAACAGACGAGGAGCUUGCUCCUCUGACGUUAGCGGCGGACGGGUGAGUAACACGUGGAUAACCUACCUAUAAGACUGGGAUAACUUCGGGAAACCGGAGCUGAUACCGGAUAAUAUAUUGAACCGCAUGGUUCAAUAGUGAAAGACGGUUUUGCUGUCACUUAUAGAUGGAUCCGCGCCGCAUUAGCUAGUUGGUAAGGUAACGGCUUACCAAGGCAACGAUGCGUAGCCGACCUGAGAGGGUGAUCGGCCACACUGGAACUGAGACACGGUCCAGACUCCUACGGGAGGCAGCAGUAGGGAAUCUUCCGCAAUGGGCGAAAGCCUGACGGAGCAACGCCGCGUGAGUGAUGAAGGUCUUCGGAUCGUAAAACUCUGUUAUUAGGGAAGAACAAAUGUGUAAGUAACUAUGCACGUCUUGACGGUACCUAUUCAGAAAGCCACGGCUAACUACGUG
rnacentral:rRNA from 1 species